GCUACAUCAGAAGAUAAUUAAACUUAUAUUGAUUCUCUUAUCCACACAUUAAUUCAAAUACAUCGGAUGUAGCUAUAUAAGAGGUCACGCCCAUUUGACUACAGAAAGUAGCUACAUGAGAA